UACGUAUGGAGCAAGCGUUAUCCGGAUUUACUGGGUGUAAAGGGAGCGUAGACGGCUGUGCAAGUCUGAAGUGAAAGCCCAGGGCUCAACCCUGGGACUGCUUUGGAAACUGUGGAGCUAGAGUGCUGGAGAGGUAAGUGGAAUUCCUAGUGUAGCGGUGAAAUGCGUAGAUAUUAGGAGGAACACCAGUGGCGAAGGCGGCUUACUGGACAGUAACUGACGUUGAGGCUCGAAAGCGUGGGGAGCAAACAGG
rnacentral:rRNA from 1 species